rnacentral:rRNA from 1 species
GCCCACGACGCCUUGCUUAGCCACACCCUCAAGGGUAGUCAGCAGUGAUAGACCUUAAGCCAUAAGUGAAAACUUGACUUAGUCAAAGCUAAGAGGGUCGGUAAAACUCGUGCCAGCCACCGCGGUUAUACGAGAGACCCAAGUUGAUAGACCCCGGCGUAAAGAGUGGUUAAGGAAAAGCUAACACUAAAGCCGAACGUCUUCAAUACUGUUAUACGCAUCCGAAGAUAAGAAGCCCAACUACGAAAGUGGCUUU